rnacentral:lncRNA from 1 species
UAAAAUAACCCUCUAACAUUUUAUAAUUUGCGGAGUAACCUUGCCUAAUUUAUAUUUGGCAAACUAACCUAACCCUAUUUCCGCCAUAUAGGAGCCACGUGGGAUUUUUUUUGAAAAGCGGCAAAUCGUUCACUGCUGACACCAAUUUCUUUUAAAGGUAGCGAAUCAUUCACCGCUUUCUCUCAUUUAUUUUAAAGGCGGUAAAUCGUUAACCGUUUUCUCCCAUUUCUUUUAAAGGCGGUGAAUCGUUCGCCGCAUUCAUUAAAAUUGUGCGUGGAUUAUAUAGGAAAUAGAAAAAGUGAGGUUGUUAAGACUAUAUGUGGAUCAUUAGAAUUUUUAUUUGAUUGUUAGGAUUGUAUGGAUAGAUUAUUAGGAUUUUCAGAUGUCACGUCCCGAGACCCGCCUAUUUGGUCGGAUUCGGGCCCGCAAACAGACCGCCGAAUGGACAAAGUUUCCCCUAUACGUCCUAGGCAUCGCAAUCAAUACAAUUCGCGAGAUUCCAACCAGGAACAGAUUUCAAGCAGAGAUUGCAUAAAGAAGUAUUAAAAACAUAAAACAACUAAAUUAUUACAAGCAUUCACAUCACAUGCUUUUACAUAUUACAUUUUCAUUUUUUUUUCUUCCAAAUACAAUCAAGAUUAUUACAAUAUUGUUUUUCUUCUUUUCUACAC